rnacentral:rRNA from 1 species
CCUACGGGUGGCUGCAGUGGGGAAUAUUGGGCAAUGGGCUCAAGCCUGCCCCAGCAACGCCGCGUGAUGGAAGAAUGCUUUCGGGUUGUAAACUUCUUUUGUCAGGGGAGAAGCAAGUGACGGUACCUGACGAACAAGCCACGGCUAACUACGUGCCAGCAGCCGCGGGAAUGCGGAGGUCGCAAGCGGUAUCCGGCUUUAUUGGGUGUAAAGGGCGUGUAGGCGGGAAUGCAAGUCAGAUGUGAAAACUAUGGGCUCAACCCAUAGCCUGCAUUUGAAACUGUAUUUCUUGAGUGCUGGAGAGGCAAUCGGAAUGCGGGGUGUAGCGGUGAAAUGCGUAGAUAUACGGAGGAACACCAGUGGCGAAGGCGGAUUGCUGGAGAGUAACUGACGCUGAGGCGCGAAAGCGUGGGGAUCAAACAGGAUUAGAUACCCCAGUAGUC